GAUGAACGCUGGCGGCGUGCCUAAUACAUGCAAGUCGAGCGAACGGACGAGAAGCUUGCUUCUCUGAUGUUAGCGGCGGACGGGUGAGUAACCCGUGGAUAACCUACCUAUAAGACUGGGAUAACUUAGGGAAACCGGAGCUAAUACCGGCUAAUAUUUUGAACCGCAUGGUUCAAAAGUGAAAGAAGGUCUUGAUGUCACUUAUAGAUGGAUCCGCGCUGCAUUAGCUAGUUGGUAAGGUAACGGCUUACCAAGGCAACGAUGCAUAGCCGACCUGAGAGGGUGAUCAGCCACACUGGAACUGAGACACGGUCCAGACUCCUACGGGAGGCAGCAGUAGGGAAUCUUCCGCAAUGGGCGAAAGCCUGACGGAGCAACGCCGCGUGAGUGAUGAAGGUCUUCGGAUCGUAAAACACUGUUAGUAGGGAAGAACAUAUGUGUAAGUAACUGUGCACAUCUUGACGGUACCUAAACAGAAAGCCACGGCUAACUACGUG
rnacentral:rRNA from 1 species